AUUGAACGCUGGCGGCAUGCUUUACACAUGCAAGUCGAACGGUAACAGGGAGCUUGCUCCGCUGACGAGUGGCGAACGGGUGAGUAAUGUAUCGGAACGUACCCAGUCGUGGGGGAUAACGUAGCGAAAGUUACGCUAGUACCGCAUAUUCUGUGAGCAGGAAAGCAGGGGAUCGCAAGACCUUGCGCUCUGGGAGCGGCCGAUGUCGGAUUAGGUAGUUGGUGGGGUAAAGGCUCACCAAGCCUGCGAUCUGUAGCUGGUCUGAGAGGACGACCAGCCUCACUGGAACUGAGACACGGUCCAGACUCCUACGGGAGGCAGCAGUGGGGAAUUUUGGACAAUGGGCGCAAGCCUGAUCCAGCCAUUCCGCGUGCAGGAUGAAGGCCCUCGGGUUGUAAACUGCUUUUGUACGGAACGAAAAGGCUUUCUCUAAUACAGGGGGCUCAUGACGGUACCGUAAGAAUAAGCACCGGCUAACUACGUGCCAGCAGCCGCGGUAAUC
rnacentral:rRNA from 1 species